CAAUAGCGUAUAUUUAAGUUGUUGCAGUUAAAAAGCUCGUAGUUGGAUUUCGGUUAAGAGCGACCGGUCCGCCGUUUGGUGUGCACUGGUUGGUUUUAACUUCCUGUAGAGGACGUGCUCUGGGUUUAACGACCUGGACUCGGAGUCUACGUGGUUACUUUGAAAAAAUUAGAGUGUUCAAAGCGGGCUUACGCUUGAAUAUUUCAGCAUGGAAUAACACUAUAGGACUCCUGUCCUAUUUCGUUGGUCUCGGGACGGGAGUAAUGAUUAAGAGGAACAGUUGGGGGCAUUCGUAUUUCAUUGUCAGAGGUGAAAUUCUUGGAUUUAUGAAAGACGAACUUCUGCGAAAGCAUUUGCCAAGGAUGUUUUCAUUA
rnacentral:rRNA from 1 species